rnacentral:rRNA from 1 species
GACGAACGCUGGCGGCGUGCUUAACACAUGCAAGUCGAACGGAAAGGCCCUGCUUUUGUGGGGUGCUCGAGUGGCGAACGGGUGAGUAGCACGUGAGUAACCUGCCCUUGACUUUGGGAUAACUUCAGGAAACUGGGGCUAAUACCGGAUAGGAGCUCCUGCUGCAUGGUGGGGGUUGGAAAGUUUCGGCGGUUGGGGAUGGACUCGCGGCUUAUCAGCUUGUUGGUGGGGUAGUGGCUUACCAAGGCUUUGACGGGUAGCCGGCCUGAGAGGGUGACCGGCCACAUUGGGACUGAGAUACGGCCAAGACUCCUACGGGAGGCAGCAGUGGGGAAUAUUGCACAAUGGGCGGAAGCCUGAUGCAGCAACGCCGCGUGCGGGAUGACGGCCUUCGGGUUGUAAACCGCUUUCGCCUGUGACGAAGCGUGAGUGACGGUAAUGGGUAAAGAAGCACCGGCUAACUACGUG